rnacentral:rRNA from 1 species
UGGGGAAUAUUGCACAAUGGGCGCAAGCCUGAUGCAGCCAUGCCGCGUGUGUGAAGAAGGCCUUCGGGUUGUAAAGCACUUUCAGCGGGGAGGAAGGCGUUAAGGUUAAUAACCUUGGCGAUUGACGUUACCCGCAGAAGAAGCACCGGCUAACUCCGUGCCAGCAGCCGCGGUAAUACGGAGGGUGCAAGCGUUAAUCGGAAUUACUGGGCGUAAAGCGCACGCAGGCGGUCUGUCAAGUCGGAUGUGAAAUCCCCGGGCUCAACCUGGGAAAUGCAUUCGAAAAUGGCAGGCUAGAGUCUUGUAGAGGGGGGUAGAAUUCCAGGUGUAGCGGUGAAAUGCGUAGAGAUCUGGAGGAAUACCGGUGGCGAAGGCGGCCCCCUGGACAAAGACUGACGCUCAGGUGCGAAAGCGUGGGGAGCAAACAGG